GACGAACGCUGGCGGCGUGCUUAACACAUGCAAGUCGAACGGAAAGGCCCCUUCGGGGGUACUCGAGUGGCGAACGGGUGAGUAACACGUGGGUGAUCUGCCCUGCACUUUGGGAUAAGCCUGGGAAACUGGGUCUAAUACCGAAUACACCCUUCUGAUCGCAUGGUCUGGGAGGGGAAAGCUUUUGCGGUGUGGGAUGGGCCCGCGGCCUAUCAGCUUGUUGGUGGGGUGAUGGCCUACCAAGGCGACGACGGGUAGCCGGCCUGAGAGGGUGUCCGGCCACACUGGGACUGAGAUACGGCCCAGACUCCUACGGGAGGCAGCAGUGGGGAAUAUUGCACAAUGGGCGCAAGCCUGAUGCAGCGACGCCGCGUGGGGGAUGACGGCCUUCGGGUUGUAAACCUCUUUCAGCAUCGACGAAGCGCAAGUGACGGUAGAUGCAGAAGAAGCACCGGCCAACUACG
rnacentral:rRNA from 1 species